UACGGAGGGUGCAAGCGUUAUCCGGAUUUACUGGGUUUAAAGGGUGCGUAGGUGGGUAAGUAAGUCAGUGGUGAAAUCUUCGAGCUUAACUCGGAAACUGCCAUUGAUACUAUUUAUCUUGAAUACUUUGGAGGUAAGCGGAAUAUGUCAUGUAGCGGUGAAAUGCUUAGAUAUGACAUAGAACACCAAUUGCGAAGGCAGCUUACUACACAGUUAUUGACACUGAGGCUCGAAAGCGUGGGGAUCAAACAGG
rnacentral:rRNA from 1 species